rnacentral:rRNA from 1 species
UAGCACAGGAGAGCUUGCUCUCUGGGUGACGAGCGGCGGACGGGUGAGUAAUGUCUGGGAAACUGCCUGAUGGAGGGGGAUAACUACUGGAAACGGUAGCUAAUACCGCAUAACGUCGCAAGACCAAAGAGGGGGACCUUCGGGCCUCUUGCCAUCAGAUGUGCCCAGAUGGGAUUAGCUAGUAGGUGGGGUAACGGCUCACCUAGGCGACGAUCCCUAGCUGGUCUGAGAGGAUGACCAGCCACACUGGAACUGAGACACGGUCCAGACUCCUACGGGAGGCAGCAGUGGGGAAUAUUGCACAAUGGGCGCAAGCCUGAUGCAGCCAUGCCGCGUGUAUGAAGAAGGCCUUCGGGUUGUAAAGUACUUUCAGCGGGGAGGAAGGCGAUAAGGUUAAUAACCUUGUCGAUUGACGUUACCCGCAGAAGAAGCACCGGCUAACUCCGUGCCAGCAGCCGCGGUAAUACGGAGGGUGCAAGCGUUAAUCGGAAUUACUGGGCGUAAAGCGCACGCAGGCGGUCUGUCAAGUCGGAUGUGAAAUCCCCGGGCUCAACCUGGGAACUGCAUUCGAAACUGGCAGGCUAGAGUCUUGUAGAGGGGGGUAGAAUUCCAGGUGUAGCGGUGAAAUGCGUAGAGAUCUGGAGGAAUACCGGUGGCGAAGGCGGCCCCCUGGACAAAGACUGACGCUCAGGUGCGAAAG